UGNGGUUGACCUUUAAACUUAAAUCUCUGC
rnacentral:piRNA from 1 species